UACGGGGGGGGCAAGCGUUGUUCGGAAUUACUGGGCGUAAAGGGCUCGUAGGCGGCCAACUAAGUCAUACGUGAAAUCCCUCGGCUUAACCGGGGAACUGCGUCUGAUACUGGAUGGCUUGAGAUUGGGAGAGGGAUGCGGAAUUCCAGGUGUAGCGGUGAAAUGCGUAGAUAUCUGGAGGAACACCAGUAGCGAAGGCGGCACUCUGGGCCGGUACUGACGCUGAGGAGCGAAAGCGUGGGGAGCGAACAGG
rnacentral:rRNA from 1 species